UUUCAUAUAAAUACUCAGACUCCCUUCUACGGUUUGACUUGUUAGGCACGACAAACGCAACAUAAAUCAUGGUUUCAAAGACAAUCAUAGCAGCUUUCCUUGUAGCAGCUCUUAUCUUGGCUUUUGCUGGUGUCGAUGCUAAGCCGCAAGGAAUGGCGAGUGAUUUGUUUGGUGGCUUGAGAAAUGUCUCCAGUUCCAUUUCAUCAGCUUUGGGUUAAAGAUGGCGAUUUGAAUUGAAACAAAAUUCAUAAAACUCUUUUGUAAAGCCUUUUCCAUUAAAAUUUUAUAUACAUAUAAACACAAAAUAUUUGCAGCAGGCUUGAGAUCUGUAAAUCUUCAACUAUGGGUCAGCAGAGGAUCUCCUCUUGGAGGUGUACAGUCUCCUCUUUCUCUUAACAAUAUGUUAUUGUAUCUGGAAGAAAAAGGUGUAUAAGAGGUGACUAUUGUGAUUGAAAAUAUUUAAAUUCAUUCGACAGCAGGAGCUUGAGCGAAAGAGGUCAUGAGUUUAAAGGCAAUAUUUACAGUUAUUUUCAUAGCAGUCCUAAUUAUGGCUUAUGUUGGGGUAGAAGCAAAGCCUCAAGGUAUAGCGAAGGAUUUCUUUGGUGGUCUAGAAGGAGUAGCCAGUUCUAUUACAUCGGCUAUGGGAUAAAUAGUAAAGUAGGUAUACCCUACAUCGGCUAUGGGAUAAAUAGUAUAUCCUCUACGUUUCACAUGUGAACUUUUUGCUGAAAAAAUUACCCUAACUAUUUAAAAGCUUACACAAUAAAUAAACGAUCAGUGUCUUAUAAUGAAAA